rnacentral:sRNA from 1 species
CUUACGCCCCGACCUGAGUGGAAAUCCUUUUUUUGGUGGCUGAGCUUGCCGAAGCCACCAAAAAAAGAUUGGGAACGGAGGGCGGAUAAAGGC